AGCUCAGUGGUGAAGCACUUGCCUAGCAUGCAAGAGAGCCUGGGUUCCAUCCCCAG
rnacentral:tRNA from 1 species